GCCCGGCCCGCUCCGGCCCCGCUCCAGCCCCGCCGCCCGGCCCGGCCCGGCCCGGCCCCGCCGCCGAGCGGAGCAGGUGCGAGAGGCAGGAGCAGCGUCCUGAUGUCCCCGCGGCGCUGCCGGAGCAGGGAAAGCCGAGGCCUGGGGGCCGCGAGCGUCGCCGUGGAGCAACCACCGAGGCGGCGGCUCCGCAGGGCUAAGCCGCGGUGCGGGCCUGCAGGACCCCAUCCUGCCCGAAGAAGGGCCCGUCCUCCGACACGGACGAGACGAGGAACGAAGAG